rnacentral:rRNA from 2 species
CGGAGGAAAAGAAACCAACAGGGAUUGCCUCAGUAACGGCGAGUGAAGCGGCAAAAGCUCAAAUUUGAAAUCCCCCGGGAAUUGUAAUUUGAAGAGAUUUGGGUCCGGCCGGCGGGGGUUAAGUCCACUGGAAAGUGGCGCCACAGAGGGUGACAGCCCCGUGAACCCCUUUAACGCCCUCAUCCCAGAUCUCCAAGAGUCGAGUUGUUUGGGAAUGCAGCUCUAAGUGGGUGGUAAAUUCCAUCUAAAGCUAAAUACCGGCGAGAGACCGAUAGCGAACAAGUACAGUGAUGGAAAGAUGAAAAGCACUUUGAAAAGAGAGUGAAAAAGUACGUGAAAUUGUUGAAAGGGAAGGGCUUGCAAGCAGACACUUAACUGGGCCAGCAUCGGGGCGGCGGGAAACAAAACCACCGGGGAAUGUACCUUUCGAGGAUUAUAACCCCGGUCUCUAUUUCCUUGCUGCCCCGAGGCCUGCAAUCUAAGGAUGCUGGCGUAAUGGUUGCAAGUCGCCCGUCUUGA